rnacentral:rRNA from 1 species
AGAGUUUGAUCCUGGCUCAGAUGAACGCUGGCGGCAUGCCUAACACAUGCAAGUCGAACGGCAGCAUUGUCUAGCUUGCUAGACAGAUGGCGAGUGGCGAACGGGUGAGUAACGCGUAGGAAUAUGCCUUGAAGUGGGGGAUAACCUGGGGAAACCCAGGCUAAUACCGCGUAAUCUCUUCGGAGGAAAGCUAGGGACCUUAUGGCCUGGCGCUCUAAGAUUAGCCUGCGUCCGAUUAGCUAGUUGGUGAGGUAAGAGCUCACCAAGGCGACGAUCGGUAGCUGGUCUGAGAGGAUGAUCAGCCACACUGGGACUGAGACACGGCCCAGACUCCUACGGGAGGCAGCAGUGGGGAAUAUUGGACAAUGGGGGCAACCCUGAUCCAGCAAUGCCGCGUGUGUGAAGAAGGCCUGAGGGUUGUAAAGCACUUUCAGUGGGGAGGAGGAUUGCUAGGUUAAGAGCUAAGUAAUUGGACGUUACCCACAGAAGAAGCACCGGCUAACUCCGUGCCAGCAGCCGCGGUAAUACGGAGGGUGCGAGCGUUAAUCGGAAUUACUGGGCGUAAAGGGUGCGUAGGUUGUUUAUUAAGUUAUCUGUGAAAUCCCCGGGCUUAACCUGGGCAGGUAAGAUAAGACUGGUAGACUUGAGUAUAGGAGAGGGUAGUGGAAUUUCCGGUGUAGCGGUGAAAUGCGUAGAGAUCGGAAGGAACACCAGUGGCGAAGGCGGCUACCUGGCCUAAUACUGACACUGAGGCACGAAAGCGUGGGUAGCAAACAGGAUUAGAUACCCUGGUAGUCCACGCUGUAAACGCUGUCAACUAGCUGUUGGACAUAUAAAUAUGUUUAGUGGCGUAGCUAACGCGCUAAGUUGACCGCCUGGGGAGUACGGUCGCAAGAUUAAAACUCAAAGGAAUUGACGG